UACGGAGGUGGCGAGCGUUGUUCGGAAUCACUGGGCUUAAAGGGCGUGUAGGCGGGAUGUUAAGUGUCGUGUGAAAGCCCCGGGCUCAACCCGGGAAUGGCUCGGCAAACUGGCAUUCUUGAGGCAGGUAGAGGUGACUGGAACGACGGGUGGAGCGGUGAAAUGCGUAGAUAUCCGUUGGAACGCCGGAGGCGAAAGCGGGUCACUGGGCCUGUCCUGACGCUGAUACGCGAAAGCGUGGGGAGCGAACAGG
rnacentral:rRNA from 1 species